AAUUUUUGCAUCCUAAAUAGUAAUUCUAUUUUUCCGAACACUUGUUCCGUCUUCGGUUCUACGAACAUUCGAUUCUCGUGCACGAACACAUGUCAUCUUCAUCCUAUGUAAAGCCCUAGAAAGAAUAUUCACAAACCUCUUUCAUACGCACGCCUGCAAGAAACAAACUGAUGAAGAGCGCAGAUUUAGCUCAAUUGCCUCCAGACUUUGGUGUAAUGGAUUACAGUUCUACCCAUCAGGAUGACUACAGGAAUCCUAACCCGUCGAUAACAAAGCAGUUAACAAUGGCAAAUCCUCCCUGGCUACUGAACCGUGUCAUACGUUCGGACCUGACGCACAACCAUGGCACGGCACCGCCGCG